GCCCAGCACCGAAUCCUGUACCGUCCUGGUACUAGGAAAUGUGGUGUUUAGGCCGUGCUUUGUGCCGGUACGACUCUCCUCAAGUCCACUUGAUUGUGGCUUCAGGCCCAGAGAGGGUGUAAGGCCCGUGGAGGCSAGUUGUCCGGUGCCCGGCACGUCCUUAGAGUCGGGUUGUUUGGGAAUGCAGCCCUAAGCGGGUGGUAAACUCCAUCCAAGGCUAAAUACUAGCACGAAUCCGAUAGCGAAGAAGUACCGCGAGGGAAAGUUGAAAAGAACUUUGAAGAGAGAGUUCAAGAGUACGUGAAACCGCUGAGAGGCAAACUGGUGGAGCUGAAAUGACUUUGAGGAAUUCAGCCCUUCGCACGGGGGACAAUGCCGGUUGUGGGAUCUCACGACUCCUCCGGUGUUGCUUCUCUCUGCGCGAUAGGUGCACUUUCCUCUUAGCCGGACCACGACCAGCGAGCUGUCUUGUCUAAUAUCUGUGGAAGGUAGCGUGCGCUUCGGCGGACGUGUUAUAGACACUGAUUUGGAGCGAGUGGCGCGUUGGAUAACUUGAUGCCUGCCCUUUGGGCUCGUACGUUGUGCCUUUUUCUGAGGUGGCUCUGGCUUCACUGCCUCGGCAGGGGAGUUGGAGACGCUUUGGUUAGGGUCGGCCUCUGCGAUUGGCGUCUACAGUCGGUGGUUUCGAAGUAGGCAGUCCACCUGACCCGUCUUGAAACACGGACCAAGGAGUCUAACAUGUGCGCGAGUCAUUGGGCUCUACGAAACCUAAAGGCGCAGUGAAAGUGAAGAUCCAUUUUGGUGGAUUGAGGUAGGAUCCUGGGUUACGUGCUCAGGCGCACUACCGGCCCGUCCGACAUGUCUUCAUGCGGGCGGAGCAAGAGCGUACACGUUGGGACCCGAAAGAUGGUGAACUAUGCUUGCGCAGGUCGAAGCCAGA
rnacentral:rRNA from 1 species